rnacentral:rRNA from 1 species
GACGAACGCUGGCGGCGUGCCUAAUACAUGCAAGUAGAACGAGUGGCGGACGGGUGAGUAAUGUCUGGGAAACUGCCUGAUGGAGGGGGAAAACUACUGGAAACGGUAGCUAAUACCGCAUACCAUCAGAUGUGCCCAGUUGGGAUUAGCUAGUAGGUGGGGUAACGGCUCACCUGGGCGACGAGCCCUAGCCUGGCUGAGAGGAUGGCCAGCCACACUGGAACUGAGACACUGUCCAGACUCCGACGGUAGGCAGCAGUGGGGAAUAUUGCACAAGGGUCGCAAGCCUGAUGCAGCCAGGCCGCGUGUGUGAAGAAGGCCUUCGGGUUGUAAAGUACUUUCAGCGGGGAGGCGUUACCCGCAGAAGAAGCACCGGCUAACUCCGUGCCAGCAGCCGCGGUAAUAC